rnacentral:rRNA from 1 species
UACGUAGGGCCCAAGCGUUAUCCGGAAUUAUUGGGCGUAAAGAGCUCGUAGGCGGUUUGUCGCGUCUGCCGUGAAAGUCCGGGGCUCAACUCCGGAUCUGCGGUGGGUACGGGCAGACUAGAGUGAUGUAGGGGAGACUGGAAUUCCUGGUGUAGCAGUGAAAUGCGCAGAUAUCAGGAGGAACACCGAUGGCGAAGGCAGGUCUCUGGGCAUUAACUGACGCUGAGGAGCGAAAGCAUGGGGAGCGAACAGG